rnacentral:misc_RNA from 1 species
GUUUUAUCAAAGCAUGCAGAAAUAUCCUUUAGUUUCUCCUAUGAUAAUCCAAAACCAUGUAUUAAAAUAUAAUUUCCUGUUAGCAGUUUUGGCAAAGGGAAGCGGCAAUGCUGAGGCAACAACUUCAGAACUUGCAAGAGAAUCACCGGUAAACUCUCUUGUCCUAUGUUAGAUAUAUUUCUUACUUCCACAAAUAACUUAUUCAAUGACCUAUAGCACAAACACGGGGACUCUUGUAUCCAUUGUAGUUUUUAAGACAUUGAAGUAAAAAUUACUCCCUUCAUUCAUUUUUACUAGUCAUAUUUGGAAUUAGUACACCCAAUAAGAAAACAAUAAUAAGCAUGACUAUUUUACCACAAAAUCCUAUUAAUUGAUGGUUAGUAUUAAGUCUCGAAAAAUGAUUCUGG